AAAACCCAUAUAAGUUGCAUUAUUGAUACAACAUCUCUUAUCAUUGUUUCAAAUAGAGAGUAAAACAAUGAGAGGUUGUUAUCUCCCAUUUUUGCUUCUACUACUUGGACUCUUAUCAUGUAAUGCAACAAAACUCGGAUUUAGUUUCGAUUUGCAUACUGAUUCCAAAGUCAGAUGCAUAGAAAAAGAACGACAAGCACUCCUCCAAUUCAAACAACACCUUGUUGAUCCUAACCAUUGGCUGUCUUCUUGGGACAGUGGUGAAGAUUGUUGCAAGUGGGAAGGAAUUAAUUGCAGCAACAAAACAGGUCAUGUUGUUCAACUUGAUCUCCGGUCAGAUUGGUCGUAUGCUGAACGUUCAACUAAAUAUUUAGAAGGUGAGAUAAGCAUUUCAUUACUUGGAUUGCAGUAUUUGACUUACUUGGACUUAAGUUUCAAUAACUUUUUCGGGAAACCGUUCCCCAACUUCAUUGGUUCACUCACUAGAUUACGAUAUCUCAAUCUUUCAUAUACCAGUAUAGCUGGAACCAUUCCACAACAAUUAGCAAACCUCUCGAGAUUGACUUCUCUUGAUCUCAAAUGGAAUGAUGAUCUGACAGAAGUAUAUAAUCUUGAUUGGUUAAUUCAUCUUUCAUCCUUAAAAUUCUUGGACAUGCAUGCAGUCAACCUCAGCCUGGUAGUCAAUUGGCCUGACAAGGUUAUGAUGCUUCCUUCUUUGAAACACUUGAGUCUAAGUCGGUGCAGUCUCUCCACAACGACUCCUCAGUUGCUUUCCGUCACUGCUAAUUCAUCAUCACAACUUUCACUUUUAGAUCUCUCUGGCAAUUAUCUCAACUGCUCUAUAUUUCUUUGGUUGUUCAACUCCACUACAAGCCUUGUCGAUCUGUACCUUGGAGAUAACGAGUUACAAUGCUCCAUUCCAGAUGCCUUUGGUAGUCUAAAUUCUCUUAAAACACUAUAUCUCGGAGGAAAUAAGCUUGUUGGCGGCAUUCCAAAAUCUUUUUGGAAUUUAUGCUCCUUAGGUUCAUUGUAUCUUUUGCAUAACAAUCUUGGUGGAAAUCUUUCUGAAUUUAUGAGUAAUGCGUCGGGUUGCUUAGUGGACUCCUUGCAAAAUCUUCAAAUAAGCAACAAUAGAUUCACAGGGCCAUUGCCUGAGAGUAUUGGAAGCCUAUCCAAUCUUCAUAUGUUGGAUGUUUCUAAGAAUUCCCUUGCUGGCCUAAUCUCUGAUGCCCAUUUUUCAAAUCUCAGCAAACUGAAAGAGUUAUAUUUAGGCUCAAAUUCUUUGAUUUUGAGCUUCAGCAACGAUUGGGUUCCCCCAUUCCAACUGGAUGCUAUUAAUUUGAGCUCUUGCAGAUUGGGAUCAGCUUUUCCAAAGUGGCUUCAAACUCAAAAGAAUUAUUUUAUGCUUGAUAUUUCUAAUGCUGAAAUUUCUGACAUUAUCCCUGCUUGGUUUUGGGACUUCUCUCCCAGGUUAUCUUUUUUAAAUAUGAAUAACAAUGAGUUGCAUGGGAACCUAGCAAACUUGUCAUCAUCUAGACUUCAUGAGUUUGCUAUUAUAGAUCUAAGCACCAAUCGUCUUGACGGUUUAAUACCACAUUUUGAAGGUCUAGUGAAUGUGUCAUCACUAGACCUAUCGAACAAUAGGUUUUCUGGACCGGUUUCCUUCCUAUGUGAACUCAAUAGUUCAACAUUAUUGGAGUCUUUAAACCUCUCAAACAAUACACUGUCUGGAGGGCUUCCAGAUUGCUGGACGUAUAUUUCUGGUUUGGUUGUUCUUAAUUUGGCCAACAACAAUUUCUCUGGGAAUAUACCAGACUCAAUGGGCUCCUUAGUCUCGAUUCAACUUUUGCAUUUAAGCAACAAUGGAUUUAUUGGAAAGAUUCCAACAUCCCUUCAAAACUGUAGCCAGUUAAUAAUCAUUGACUUGGGAGCAAAUAACUUUUCUGGAAUGGUACCUCCAUGGAUUGGUGAUAGUUUACCGAAUUUGGUUAUUCUUGGCCUACGAUCUAAUCAGUUUGUUGGAAGUUUGCCUUUAAAUCUAUGUCAUCUACAACAUAUUCAGAUCUUGGACCUUUCUUUGAACAAGAUCAGGGGAGCUAUUCCAGAAUGUAUAUACAAUUUGACUGCAAUGUCUACUACAAUGGAUACAAUGUCUGGCGCCAUGUUCAGGUAUAAUACAAGCAUAUCUUAUAUGGACUAUGCAUCCUUGGUAUGGAAAGGAAGAGAGUUUAUGUUCCAAAGUUCCUUGGGACUUCUGAAGAUAAUUGAUCUUUCAAAUAACAAAUUACAUGGAGUGAUUCCAGAAGGAAUUACUAAUCUUACAGAACUAGUUGCCUUGAAUUUAUCCAGAAACAAUUUAUUUGGAUUUAUCACUCCGAAGAUCGGUUUGUUGAGAAAUUUGCAGUCUCUUGAUUUAUCUAGAAACCAACUUUACGGUGAAAUCCCAAUGAGCAUUUCCAUCUUAAGUUUUCUCAGCCAAUUAGACUUGUCCGCCAACAACUUAUCAGGCAAAAUCCCAACAGGAACUCAAAUACAAAGCUUUGAUGCUUCUGCAUUUUCAGAAAAUCCUAAACUAUGUGGCUCUCCACUUCCAAACAAGUGCAUAGAAGAUCCUUAUCCAAUUUACAAUAACACUCGAGGCCAUGAGAAUCAGAAUGAUGGAUUUAUAACUAAAGGAUUUUAUAUUGCUGCAUCUCUCGGAUUUAUUGGAGGAUUUUGGGGAGUGUGUAUCACUUCAUUGCUAAACAUUCGGUAUAUAAUGAAGCGUCUCACUUCUAAAGCUCGAAUGAUGUUACAGUACGUGGUAGAAGCUCUAUGCAUGCUCACUUCGUAAAGUUAAAUUUUAAGGUAAAAGUCUUCUCUCUAUAUUUUAUAUACAUAUUCAUAAAUUAGUAAAAUCCUUCGCCACAUAUAGUAGGAAUAUAUUUAUGUGUGUGUGUGUGUGUGUGUGUGAAUAUAUUUUCUAUGGCAGUAUAGUAUAGUAUGAAUAUAUAAUUCUUAGCAAGUCUUUAAAAGUCUUCAACCUGUAUCCCUUUAAUUAUCUGUUAAAAAUCUCUGCAACAUUAGAUUAUAUAGAAAAUAUUAGUUUUUACAUAUUCUUAUGUUGAAUUUGACUUUAGUAAGUCGGUUCAUGAUCAGGUACAUAAUAUAUUUAAAGAAUAUGUUGAAUUUGGCUUUAGUAAGUCGGUUCAUGAUCAGCUAGCAGGAGACAGCCACAUCAUUUCAAUAAGCUAGUCAUGAUACUAUAUAGAGUGGAUCAGUUCUACUUCGUUUUGUUGAGUAUAUUGUAUGUAUCAAAAGACAAUCAUUGUAUCUUAGACUAGUUAUUUCUAAGUAUUUUUCAAUGGAUGUAAUUUUAAAUUUAAUCUGCAAACUAGCACUUUAUAUACAUAUAUAUAUAUAUACUAUAAUAUAUUGAUCAA